rnacentral:rRNA from 1 species
UACGUAGGUGGCAAGCGUUGUCCGGAAUUACUGGGCGUAAAGGGCGCGUAGGCGGUUGGAUAGGUCAGCUGUGAAAACCACGAGCUUAACUCGUGGCCUGCAGUUGAGACUGUCUGGCUUGAGUGUGGGAGAGGAGAGUGGAAUUCCUGGUGUAGCGGUGAAAUGCGUAGAUAUCAGGAGGAACACCGGUGGCGAAGGCGGCUCUCUGGACCACAACUGACGCUGAGGCGCGAAAGCUAGGGGAGCAAACAGG